rnacentral:rRNA from 1 species
UGGGGAAUAUUGCGCAAUGGGGGCAACCCUGACGCAGCCAUGCCGCGUGUGUGAAGAAGGCCUUCGGGUUGUAAAGCACUUUAAGUGGGGAGAAAGGCUCGUUGGUUAAUAGCCAGCGGGAUUGAUGUUACCCACAGAAUAAGCACCGGCUAACUCCGUGCCAGCAGCCGCGGUAAUACGGAGGGUGCGAGCGUUAAUCGGAAUUACUGGGCGUAAAGCGCGCGUAGGCGGUUUGUUAAGUCAGCUGUGAAAGCCCCGGGCUCAACCUGGGAACUGCAGUUGAUACUGUCCGACUAGAGUACGAGAGAGGGAGGUAGAAUCCCAUGUGUAGCGGUGAAAUGCGUAGAUAUAUGGAGGAAUACCGGUGGCGAAGGCGGCCUCCUGGCUCGAUACUGACGCUGAGGUGCGAAAGCGUGGGGAUCAAACAGG